UCUUUGGAGAUGAGGGUGGUCGCUCAUCCCCGACGAGCCCCCAAAUGAAAAACCCCCCUCACUCAAGUCUCGGGAUGAUGCGACCCCUCAAGAACUCACGUGUGACC
rnacentral:pre_miRNA from 14 species